rnacentral:rRNA from 1 species
GCAGUCGAGCGAACAGACGAGGAGCUUGCUCCUUUGACGUUAGCGGCGGACGGGUGAGUAACACGUGGGUAACCUACCUAUAAGACUGGGAUAACUUCGGGAAACCGGAGCUAAUACCGGAUAAUAUUUCGAACCGCAUGGUUCGAUAGUGAAAGAUGGCUCUGCUAUCACUUAUAGAUGGACCUGCGCCGUAUUAGCUAGUUGGUAAGGUAACGGCUUACCAAGGCAACGAUACGUAGCCGACCUGAGAGGGUGAUCGGCCACACUGGAACUGAGACACGGUCCAGACUCCUACGGGAGGCAGCAGUAGGGAAUCUUCCGCAAUGGGCGAAAGCCUGACGGAGCAACGCCGCGUGAGUGAUGAAGGUCUUCGGAUCGUAAAACUCUGUUAUUAGGGAAGAACAAACGUGUAAGUAACUGUGCACGUCUUGACGGUACCUAAUCAGAAAGCCACGGCUAACUACGUGCCAGCAGCCGCGGUAAUACGUAGGUGGCAAGCGUUAUCCGGAAUUAUUGGGCGUAAAGCGCGCGUAGGCGGUUUUUUAAGUCUGAUGUGAAAGCCCACGGCUCAACCGUGGAGGGUCAUUGGAAACUGGAAAACUUGAGUGCAGAAGAGGAAAGUGGAAUUCCAUGUGUAGCGGUGAAAUGCGCAGAGAUAUGGAGGAACACCAGUGGCGAAGGCGACUUUCUGGUCUGUAACUGACGCUGAUGUGCGAAAGCGUGGGGAUCAAACA